GAAAUUUCUCAUUACGAAAAACUACACGAUUUUUGAUUUACAGCACCACGAAAUUUCAAAAUUCAUUUUAGUUUUCUUCUUUAGAAAAAAAAUUCUCUCAAAUCCUCUCCCCCUUUUCAAUCUCCGGUCGUUGGGCUGCCAGCCGUCCGCCGGCUACGGUCGAUGGUGCCGCCGUCCACAGUGGCCGGAGAGCCCAAAAGUCAAUUUUUUUCUUCCUUUCACCCUCCUAGAAUCCAAUCUAGGGUUAGUUUUUCUAGAAAAUGGCAAAAAAAUCGCCGAAAUAGGCAAAGGGCACUUCGGUUUUUUUUGGGGUUCUAAAAUUUUUUUCAGGAUGACAGGGGGUCACCGUUCAUCAGCGGUGACAACCUCGCCGCUCAUGGUGUUGAAAACCCGAAUACCAGGUGAGUCUCCUCUCCAUUUUCCUUCUUUUUUAUAUGUGCUUCUAUAUAUUUAAAAUAUAACAGAAGCCAAACGAAAGUAAUCACCCUUUUGUUUUUUUUUAUAUUCGAUUUCUAUUUUUUAUUCGAUUUUCUGUGAAAAAAAGGAAGAAGGAACAUCGAUGUUGCUGUAGCUUUUUUAUAGCCGAAAUUACAAAACUAAUUGUUUCUAUUUUUUUGUUUUUUCUUUGUUGUCUUUUUCUUCUUGCGUGUUUUGCUCUGUUGCGUGUUCGUCCUUAUUUGCAGGUGGCGGUGGAGCAAGUAAUGACGUUGGCAUGGCGAUUUCAGCAGGCUAGGAGCGGCGCAGUGCCAGGCUACAGGGCUAGGUUUUUUUUCUGAAAACUUUAAGUUUGUGGGCUUCAGAAUUUGGGUUAGGGGUUUUUAUUUUUGGGUUUGGGCUGUUUGAUUGAGUUAAUUUUGGGUCAUUGGGUUUUGGGUUAUUUAUUUAUUUUUGGUUGGUUUUCUGGCGGGCCGAACAAAUUUAGGCCUGUACAGUAACAUCUCUUAAACUAUUCAACUCAUAAUCUAGAUUCACUAAAUUGAAGAGUAUUUACAACAAUUUCCACGCACAAAUAGUGCAUUUCGACCUUUCUUAAACCACGAAAUUUCUCAUUACGAAAAACCACACGAUUUUUGAUUUACAGCACCACUAGUUUGAAAAACAAAAAGCAAAAAAAAAAUGAUCUUACUUUUCUUUCACCUAGAAAUUACUUGUCGUCUUUUCAGCAUUGUUCUAAUAAAG
rnacentral:lncRNA from 1 species